UGGGUAACCUGCCCAAGAGAUCGGGAUAACACCUGGAAACAGAUGCUAAUACCGGAUAACAACAGAUGAUGCCUAUCAACUGUUUAAAAGAUGGUUCUGCUAUCACUCUUGGAUGGACCUGCGGUGCAUUAGCUAGUUGGUAGGGUAACGGCCUACCAAGGCGAUGAUGCAUAGCCGGGUUGAGAGACUGAUCGGCCACAUUGGGACUGAGACACGGCCCAAACUCCUACGGGAGGCAGCAGUC
rnacentral:rRNA from 1 species